GCGGGCGCGCCGACGUCGGAGAGUCGGAUCUGGCUGUAAACCAGGUGCUCACGCUGAGGGGGUUCGAAUCCCUCCGCCCGCA
rnacentral:tRNA from 1 species